rnacentral:rRNA from 1 species
CGGUAGUCCACGCCGUAAACGAUGUCUACUAGCCGUUGGGAUCCUUGAGAUCUUAGUGGCGCAGCUAACGCACUAAGUAGACCGCCUGGGGAGUACGGUCGCAAGAUUAAAACUCAAAUGAAUUGACGGGGGCCCGCACAAGCGGUGGAGCAUGUGGUUUAAUUCGAAGCAACGCGAAGAACCUUACCUACUCUUGACAUCCACAGAACUUCUGAGAGAUCAGUUGGUGCCUUCGGGAACUGUGAGACAGGUGCUGCAUGGCUGUCGUCAGCUCGUGUUGUGAAAUGUUGGGUUAAGUCCCGUAACGAGCGCAACCCUUGUCCUUAGUUACCAUCAUUUAGUUGGGUACUUUAAGGAGACUGCCGGUGACAAACCGGAGGAAGGCGGGGACGACGUCAAGUCAUCAUGGCCCUUACGAGUAGGGCUACACACGUGCUACAAUGGGCUGGGUACAAAACGGGUUGCAAUCUCGCGAGGGGGGAGCUAAUCUGAAAAAGCCAGUCGUAGUCCGGAUCGGAGUCUGCAAC